AGUAAUUAAUUUAAUGCAGGAACAUGAACAAGCUCUAAUUGAUGCAAUUGCCAGACUGACAGAUCUUUCUGAUGGUGAAAGUGACGAAGGUGGCCGCCAUUUCUCACAUGUUCAGUCGAUGGAUCGAGAAUGACAAAGGUGAGAGGCUGCUGCAGAAUAACAGAUUAAGCACCGAGUUAACCAAAUUCAUGGAGUAGAGUGGCUUUCUCUUGUAGACUUGUACUAUGCCAUUAAAAAAAUGUUCCUGACAGAGAUGAUAGCUCUAGUUCUAGGCUUGUGUGUUUUGUGUAUUAGCCAUCAAGUAGGAUGACAAUCAUGUAGUUUGGUAAUAAUUAUUGAUUAUUGGGGGGUAACUAGGACCAGGCCUGCUUGUAUAAAACGUGUGAUAUUAUGAUUGUGUAUAAAUUCUUGUAUUUGUUGUGUCAAAUUAUCAGUCUAAUCUUAGAUUUUCCUUUCCCCUUGAA